rnacentral:rRNA from 1 species
GACGGGUGAGUAACACGUGGGUAACCUACCUAUAAGACUGGAAUAACUCCGGGAAACCGGGGCUAAUGCCGGAUAACAUUUAGAACCGCAUGGUUCUAAAGUGAAAGAUGGUUUUGCUAUCACUUAUAGAUGGACCCGCGCCGUAUUAGCUAGUUGGUAAGGUAACGGCUUACCAAGGCAACGAUACGUAGCCGACCUGAGAGGGUGAUCGGCCACACUGGAACUGAGACACGGUCCAGACUCCUACGGGAGGCAGCAGUAGGGAAUCUUCCGCAAUGGGCGAAAGCCUGACGGAGCAACGCCGCGUGAGUGAUGAAGGUCUUCGGAUCGUAAAACUCUGUUAUUAGGGAAGAACAAAUGUGUAAGUAACUAUGCACGUCUUGACGGUACCUAAUCAGAAAGCCACGGCUAACUACGUGCCAGCAGCCGCGGUAAUACGUAGGUGGCAAGCGUUAUCCGGAAUUAUUGGGCGUAAAGCGCGCGUAGGCGGUUUCUUAAGUCUGAUGUGAAAGCCCACGGCUCAACCGUGGAGGGUCAUUGGAAACUGGGAAACUUGAGUGCAGAAGAGGAAAGUGGAAUUCCAUGUGUAGCGGUGAAAUGCGCAGAGAUAUGGAGGAACACCAGUGGCGAAAGCGACUUUCUGGUCUGUAACUGACGCUGAUGUGCGAAAGCGUGGGGAUCAAACAGGAUUAGAUACCCUGGUAGUCCACGCCGUAAACGAUGAGUGCUAAGUGUUAGGGGGUUUCCGCCCCCUUAGUGCUGCAGCUAACGCAUUAAGCACUCCGCCUGGGGAGUAC